UAAUUUCUAUUCAGCCGCAAAGAUAUUCUUUCUCUUCUCCUUCCUAACCUCUUAAUCGAUGGUCACCUCUUCUCCUUCCUAACCUCUGAAUCUCUUCUCCUUACUAACCUCUGAAUCGAUGGUCACCUCUGAAUCUUCUUUUCCACCUAUCUUAUCUCGAUUUCUCUAUACUAAAACGGAUCUGCGGAGAUUUAUCGAUGCUCACCUCUGAAUCGCAUUUGGCAUUUUAGAGCACACGGUGUACCGUUCAAGACGAAUGAGAGAGAAAUUAAAUGAGAUAAACGUGAAGCUUCAAACCAAGACAAAAUUCAGAAGUUUAAUUCUCUUUGAAUUUAUUUUCAGCUGAAAUGCACACAUUGUGUUAAUUACAUGUAAACCCAGUUUUAAUAUUAUCAAAUAUCAUAUUCUUUUAAUACAAAUUUUGUAUAAUUGCUUC